rnacentral:rRNA from 1 species
GAUGAACGCUGGCGGCGUGCUUAACACAUGCAAGUCGAACGAACAGACCCGGAGCUUGCUCCUCUGACGUUAGCCGCGGACGGGAGAGUAACACGUGGAUCCCCUACCUAUAAGACUGGUAUAACCUCGGGAAACCGGAGCUAAUACCGUAUAAUAUCUUGAUCCGCAUGGUUCAAUAGUUAAAGACGGUUUUGCUGUCCCUUCUAGAUGGUUCCUCGCCUCAUUAGCUAGUUGGUGAGGUAACGGCUUAGCAAGGCAAGGAUGCGUAGCCGACCUGAGAGGGUGAUCGGGCACAAGAGAGCUGAGACACGGUCCAGGCUCCUGAGAGAGGCAACAGUAGGGAAGCGGACGCAAUGGGCGAAAGCCUGACAGAGCGACGACGCGUGAGUGAUGAAGGUCGUGGGAGCGAAAAACUCUGUUAUGAGGGAAGAACAAAUGUGGAAGUAACUAGGCAGGGCUUGACGGUACCUAAUAAGAAAGCCACGGCUAACUACGUG